CUUUCUUCUUUCUUUCUUUCUUUUCUUUCUAGUUGUAAGUAAAACUGAGUAAGCACCAUCAAAAAAUUGUUAUCUGUAUUUAUAUGUUUCCUUAGAUGCUGCAGAGUUUCUGGGUAAGAGGCAUAUUUUUAAAGAUUUCAUUUAAAAAAUAUUUCAUUUUUGAUAAAUUUUUUUGAAGGCUCCUUCUCUUUAAUUAUCAUGGUGCCAUCUUGCUGUCCUAGAUAUAGCUGUACCACUUAGCACUUGAGCACAUGUCUAAUGAUACUUGAUACACCUUCUAAUUUUGAAAUUAUCCAGAGGAAUGUUUACAUGAUCUUCAAAUUUGGAAAAUCCCUAAAUAUAAAGAUCACAACUACAAUCAUUCUUUUUCAGGAUUACCAUUUGCGCUUUGUACUUCUUUAAACGUGCCAUAUUUAUUCCAGAAAAUCAAAAGAGAAAGCAUUCAAGUGUUCUUUCUGUAGCUCUACCCCCACAAACAAGCUUGGCCAGUUGUUGGUCUUCCUUGUUCUGUCAUUUUCUUGAAUUGCCUCUUCUAAUGUCCACCCCAUCCCCCAUUCAAUUAUUUAUUUCUGCAAUUUUAUUAUGCAAUUCUAGCAAGAGGCUAGGCUGGAUUUUACAUAUUUUAAAAUAAAUUCUAUACCAAAGGUUUGCUGUAUGUACUAAGCAACAAAAACAAGACUAUUCUAACUAGCCAGCUUUUCUACAGAAACCAUUUUUUAAAUAGAGUUUAUUGUCGCCUGUAAACUUAGAUGAGCUUUCUCUUUCCUGCCAGGGAAAAACUUUAUAUCUCAUUAUUUACUUCUUUCCAUAAAUAUCAAACAGCCAAGAGCAUUAAUUCCAUAUUCCAAUGUGCAUCUUAUCAUAUGACUAUUUGCAGUAGUGUCUACAAAUAACUUCAUAGAAAACAUAAACAUGCAACAGCAUAACAUUUGGUUGUGACUAUUACAAGAAAUGGUAGCAGUUUUCUUGUGUUGUCCAUAGGCUGAGAGCAGGAGGAUAAAGGGGACUUUGGCAGCAAGCUGGUUGGUCCACUUAAGGAAAUGGCUGAAAACUGCCCCAGAAUCUUCCAGGAAGAAUUCUGAGAACGACAACAGAACUCUAACAUGUGACAUUUGUAUGAAGCUACAUUAUUUUUUUUAACUUAUUUUUUAUUUGUGUUCAAAUUGCCAACAUAUAGAAUAACACCCAGUGUUCAUCCCAUCAAGUACGCCCUCAGUGCCUGUCACCCAGUCACCCCCAACCCCCACUCACCUCCCUUUCUACCACCCCUUGUUCGUUUCCCAGAGUUAGGAGUCUCUCAUGUUCUGCCUCCCUUUCUGAUAUUUCCCACUCAUUUUUUUAAAGGGGAAACCUUUAUAUCCUUUCACUAUUAUUUAUAUUCCCCAAAUGAAUGAGACCAUAUAAUGUUUGUCCUUCUCCAAUUGACUUAUUUCACUCUGAAGCUACUUUAUUAUAUCAAUGUGCAAAAAUACCAGGGAUCUCUUAGGAGCCACUUGAAAAUACAACCUCCGGAAUUCCCCUUUGUCUUCAGACUGCUCAUAUUAAUGGCUUUCUGGGGUCAUUUGCUGUUUCGAUGUACUGAAAAUUCUCAUCUAACAGGCUGACUCACAGGUGCUGAGAACCUAAAAAAAACAUUAGAAAUAAGGAACAACUGUCUUCACCUACAAGCAAAGAGACUGAUAAAUGUGUCCAGCUUACUAACUGGUAAGUGGCAGUACCAGGGCCUGAGCCUCAGUCCCUGACAUGAGGUGUGGGGCACCACCCACAUUAAGCUGAUUGAUCUAUUAGGCAAAGACAAGAGAAGAGCCAAACAAGGUCGCCAAGGCUUCAAAUCUCAGUGCCUGCGGAGGUGAUGGGGAAACCCAAACCAAUCUAUGGAAGCAGAAAGUUAGACCAGUGCUAGCAAGAAAUUGAUUGCAUCUGGGUGCUUGACUCAUCAUGAAGGAACAAGUCUCUUUCCAUCUCUUGGGAGGACAGGCAGGGCUUUGGGUCCUGGAGGGCUAGCUAGCCUUCCUUGCCCCAGAGGAGGGAUAGGUGACCUUUGCUUUUUCAAGCCUGAUCUACUGCGUCUGUCAGGUAACCUAGAUGGGUAAAGAGCAUGAGUAUAAAAACAGUUAGUUGUCCAGUGGGAACUGUGGCAGUGCUGCCAGAUUUUCUGAUCUUUCAAUGAAAUCUCUUGGUCUUAAAAAAGGAAAAAGAAAGGAAAACAAUUUCUUUUGGAAGGCA
rnacentral:lncRNA from 1 species